CUUACGUAGUUGCAGCAGAUUGUUAAAGCGACGCAGGAGUAUAGGACACCAACAACAGAAAAAUAAGAAUCUAUGUGGCUGGCACACAUCCGGUCAGAGCUUACCUUGUCUGUGGAGUAGUAGGACUAUCGCGGAUAGCACUUAUGGUAACUUCAAACAGAACUACCAACAAACAGAGUAGCAAUGGUCCAAGCAGAGCGCCUUCUAGGCCAAAUAAGUACAUUCCGCCAGCAAUCGAUAGACCGGUCAGCUUUCUGCUACUAUACGCACCCCUUGAUCUCGGAGUGAAUGAUGGGGUUGAAGUUGGACGGAACAAUGAAAUGAAUCAACACCAAUAUGACCCCGAGCCAGAAACGGUCCUGCGACAGCCACAAAUCCAGAA